AGGACGAACGCUGGCGGCGUGUUUCACACAUGCAAGUCGAGCGAGGCCCUUCCUUCGGGGAGGAGCCCUAGCGGCGAACGGGUGAGUAACACGUGGGCAACCUGCCCCUAGCUCUGGGAUAAGCCCGGGAAACCGGGUCUAAUACCGGAUAUGACUCUUGCAGGCAUCUGUGGGAGUGGAAAGAUUUAUCGGCUAGGGGAUGGGGCCCGCGGCCUAUCAGCUUGUUGGUGGGGUAACGGCCCACCAAGGCGACGACGGGUAGCCGGCCUGAGAGGGCGACCGGCCACACUGGGACUGAGACACGGCCCAGACUCCUACGGGAGGCAGCAGUGGGGAAUCUUGCACAAUGGGCGAAAGCCUGAUGCAGCGACGCCGCGUGAGGGAUGACGGCCUUCGGGUUGUAAACCUCUUUCAGCAGGGACGAAGCGAAAGUGACGGUACCUGCAGAAGAAGGACCGGCCAACUACGUGCCAGCAGCCGC
rnacentral:rRNA from 1 species